GGUGGUGGAGGUGGCGAAACAUAAAUUACUGGUGCUGGUGGUGGUGAUGGCGAUGGCGGGGGCUUAUAAUGAGUUGGCGGUGGAGGUGAAGGCAAUGGAGGUGGGGGCGAAUAUUCUACACAUGGUGGCGGUGGAGGGGGAGGUGGUUCUAUACAAGGGGGUGGGGAUGGAGGUGGUGGCAAAUGGACUGGUGGAGGUGGCGGGGGAGAUUGGUAUGGAUAAAUAGGAGGUGGGGGUGAAUGUGGCGGUGGAGGUGGUUCUAUACAAGGGGGUGGGGAUGGAGGUGGUGGUGAAUGGACUGGUGGAGGUGGCGGGGGAGAUUGGUAUGGAUAAAUAGGAGGUGGGGGUGAAUGUGGCGGUGGAGGUGGUGGUGAGCUAUAAAUGUAAGGGUUUGGCGGUGGUGAGGAGUACAGUGGAGGAGGUGGUGGAGGAGAAUUUGGCGGAGGUGGUGGAGGGCGGACACAAUACGGUGGUGGUGGAGAAGAGUAAACAGGAGGGGGCGGGGGUGAUGGUGAUGGAGGAGGAGGCGGAGGCAAGUAUACAGGCGGGGGUGGUGGCGGAGGAGGAGGUGGUGGGGGUGGAGAGUAAACUGGCGGGG
rnacentral:lncRNA from 1 species